rnacentral:rRNA from 1 species
GUCCAGACUCCUACGGGAGGCAGCAGUCGGGAAUAUUGCGCAAUGGAGGAAACUCUGACGCAGUGACGCCGCGUGCAGGAAGAAGGUUUUCGGAUUGUAAACUGCUUUAGACAGGGAAGAAAAAAGACAGUACCUGUAGAAUAAGCUCCGGCUAACUACGUGCCAGCAGCCGCGGUAAUACGUAGGGAGCGAGCGUUAUCCGGAUUUACUGGGUGUAAAGGGGGCGCAGACGGCAGCGCAAGCCAGGAGUGAAAGCCCGGGGCCCAACCCCGGGACUGCUCUUGGAACUGCGCGGCUGGAGUGCAGGAGGGGCAGGCGGAAUUCCUGGUGUAGCGGUGAAAUGCGUAGAUAUCAGGAGGAACACCGGUGGCGAAGGCGGCCUGCUGGACUGCGACUGACGUUGAGGCCCGAAAGCGUGGGGAGCAAACAGGAUUAGAUACCCCCGUAA